rnacentral:tRNA from 1 species
CCCUCGAUAGCUCAGUUGGCAGUACGGAGGACUGUAGAUGUUACAACGGUGAUCCUUAGGUCGCUGGUUCAAAUCCGGCUCGAGGGA